rnacentral:tRNA from 1 species
UGGGGUUUUAGCUCAGUGGUAGAGUGCUUGUCUUGCAUUCAUGAGGCCCUGGGUUCGAUCCUCAGCACCACAU